rnacentral:piRNA from 1 species
UGCAUUCUGCUAUUAGAUGUU